AAACUAAGUUUUGUGGCAAGUGCGACGUCGCUUCAAGGCAUUUUCCAUAACCAUGGCUUGCUGCGCCUUUGGAUGCCAAAAUACUUCUAGCAAAUGCAAGCGACUCUUCUCGAUACCGUCCGGUAAGCGCGACGGGUUAAGAAGAAAGACGUGGAUUCAUCGAAUUGGCAGGAAGAACUUCAGACCAACACCCUCCACACGACUAUGCGAGGACCAUUUCACCGAGGACCAAUUAGAGCAUGUAUUUUUAAGCAAGCUCGGAAUUAAGAAGUUACGCCCUAAUACUGUACCAAGUAUAUUCAUACACCAGAAGUUACCGAAGCCUAGGAAGCCCCCUUUUCAACGUACAGAGGUAGUCAAUAAAAAACAAAUACUGUCGUCAUGUUACUCUGUUGGGUUUGCUGUACCCUAGAGGAAACUUUGUAUCAUGGUCAACCCAUUUCCUUUCAUUUCAGGUGCCUUAUUGUUGAGAAAUGCAGAUUAUCCAAAGGCCUCUCCAUUGAAAGCUGCAGAAGUCAGCCAUGGCGUGCCAGGGCUCUCCUUAAGUAGCCUUCAAAGCUCAGUUCAAGACUCGGGCUCUAGUACCCCGUUCGAAACUGUGGCUAAUACUGAAU